GCCCAGACUCCUACGGGAGGCAGCAGUGGGGAAUAUUGCACAAUGGGGGGAACCCUGAUGCAGCGACGCCGCGUGGGGGAUGACGGCCUUCGGGUUGUAAACCUCUUUCAGUAGGGAAGAAGCCUUUGGGUGACGGUACCUGCAGAAGAAGUACCGGCUAACUACGUGCCAGCAGCCGCGGUAAUACGUAGGGUACAAGCGUUGUCCGGAAUUAUUGGGCGUAAAGAGCUCGUAGGUGGUUUGUCGCGUCUGCUGUGGAAUCGUGCCGCUUAACGGUGCGCGUGCAGUGGGUACGGGCAGACUGGAGUGCAGUAGGGGAGUCUGGAAUUCCUGGUGUAGCGGUGAAAUGCGCAGAUAUCAGGAGGAACACCGGUGGCGAAGGCGGGACUCUGGGCUGUUACUGACGCUGAGGAGCGAAAGCAUGGGGAGCGAACAGGAUUAGAUACCCUGGUAGUCCAUGCCGUAAACGUUGGGAACUAGGUGUGGGGUCCAUUCCACGGAUUCCGCGCCGUAGCUAACGCAUUAAGUUCCCCGCCUGGGGAGUACGGCCGCAAGGCUAAAACUCAAAGGAAUUGACGGGGGCCCGCACAAGCGGCGGAGCAUGCGGAUUAAUUCGAUGCAACGCGAAGAACCUUACCAAGGCUUGACAUGCACUGGAAUCGCCUAGAGAUAGGUGCGCCCUUUGGGGCUGGUGUACAGGUGGUGCAUGGUUGUCGUCAGCUCGUGUCGUGAGAUGUUGGGUUAAGUCCCGCAACGAGCGCAACCCUCGUUCUAUGUUGCCAGCACGUGAUGGUGGGAACUCAUAGGAGACUGCCGGGGUCAACUCGGAGGAAGGUGGGGAUGACGUCAAAUCAUCAUGCCCUUUAUGUCUUGGGCUUCACGCAUGCUACAAUGGUCGGUACAGAGGGUGGCGAUGCCGUGAGGUGGAGCGAAUCCCUUAAAGCCGGUCUCAGUUCGGAUCGUAGUCUGCAACUCGACUACGUGAAGUCGGAGUCGCUAGUAAUCGCAGAUCAGCAACGCUGCGGUGAAUACGUUCCCGGGCCUUGUACACACCGCCCGUCAAGUCACGAAAGUCGGUAACACCCGAAGCCGGUGGCCUAACCUGUGUGGGGGGAGCCGUCGAAGGUGGGACCGGUGAUUGGGACUAAGUCGUAACAAGGUAGCCGUACCGGAAGGUGCGGCUGGAUCACCUCCUUUCUAAGGA
rnacentral:rRNA from 1 species